UACGUAGGGGGCAAGCGUUGUCCGGAAUUAUUGGGCGUAAAGAGCGCGUAGGCGGUCCGGUAAGUCGGUUGUGAAAGUCGGGGGCUCAACCCUCGGAUGCCGAUCGAUACUGCCGGGCUAGAGUCCGGAAGAGGCGAGUGGAAUUCCUGGUGUAGCGGUGAAAUGCGCAGAUAUCAGGAGGAACACCAAUGGCGAAGGCAGCUCGCUGGGACGGUACUGACGCUGAGGAGCGAAAGCGUGGGGAGCAAACAGG
rnacentral:rRNA from 1 species